AACUUACCAGGUCAAGACAUGGGCGUGAUUGACAGGCUAAUGACUUUUCUCGAUUCCAUGGAUGGUGGUGCAUGGUCGCACUUAGUUGGUGCAGUGAUUUGUCAGGUUUAUUCCGGUAACGAACGAGACCUCGGCCUUGUAAAUAGCUAUGCUGCUUACAGGGACAUUGGCGGCUACGCCAAGGAAGCUCGAGGCAAUUGCAGAUCUGGAAUGCCCUUAGAUGUCCUGGGUCGCACGCGUGCUACAAUGACGCCACGAACGAGCUUGCGUGAUGAAAGUUACGCAUAAUCAGCAGUCGGCGUCUUAAGGGAUAGUCUCUUGUAACUGUGGGACUCCAACUAGGAAUGUCUCGUAAGCACAAGUCAACAUCUUGUGUUGAUUACGUCCCUGCUCUUUGUACACACCGCCCGUCGCUCCUACCGAUCGAGUGUUUAGGUGAAUUUGAUGGACGUAAGGAAGUCAAAUAAACCUGAGCACUAGAAGAAGAGAGUCGAGCAUCC
rnacentral:rRNA from 1 species